UACAGAGGCCUCGAGCGUUAGGCGGAAUCACUGGGCUUAAAGCGUGUGUAGGUGGAUGCCUAAGUACCUUGUGAAAUCCCUCGGCUUAACCGGGGAACUGCGUCUGAUACUGGAUGGCUUGAGUUCGGGAGAGGGAUGCGGAAUUCCAGGUGUAGCGGUGAAAUGCGUAGAUAUCUGGAGGAACACCGGUGGCGAAGGCGGCAUCCUGGACCGACACUGACGCUGAGGAGCGAAAGCCAGGGGAGCAAACGGG
rnacentral:rRNA from 1 species